UACGUAGGGGGCAAGCGUUGUCCGGAAUCAUUGGGCGUAAAGAGCGUGUAGGCGGCCAGAAAAGUCCGCUGUGAAAACUCGAGGCUCAACUUCGAGCUGUCGGUGGAAACUUUCUGGCUAGAGUCGGAAGAGGAGAAUGGAAUUCCUGGUGUAGCGGUGAAAUGCGCAGAUAUCAGGAGGAACACCGGUGGCGAAGGCGGGUCUCUGGGCCGAUACUGACGCUGAGGAGCGAAAGCGUGGGGAGCGAACAGG
rnacentral:rRNA from 1 species